rnacentral:ribozyme from 1 species
CUGUAAAUAUUGACGAUAAACCCAGGUCAAAAAUGAAAACGAAGAAGAAGAAGCAAGGAGGAGUUGCGCUGAUACCUCCUUUUAUUUUUUGUUGGUUCUUCUUUGUUUCUUCUUCUUCUUCUUGUUCUUUUAUUCAAGUAUAAAAAU